GGGAAGUUGGCUCAGUGGUAGAGUGCUUGCCUUGUAUGCAUGAGGCCCUGAAUUCAAUUCCUU
rnacentral:tRNA from 1 species